rnacentral:ncRNA from 1 species
UGAAAAGCGAUGACAGGAAAUCCAGUAGUGCUUAUCUCCCUGUUCAAAAGAGAGUCGGUGGCCGGUGCGAACCGAUACAAAGAUAACACGAAAUACAUUCCUUGAGCUGUCUUUGAUAAACAAAGAACGGGCGACCGUUAAAUCGUUGAGCGGAAGGAAUUUUUCCUUCAAUAAGGGUGGUACCGCGUGAAAUAGUCAAACCACGUCCCUUUU